CAGUAUUUCCACAGGGAACUGCCGACCUCUCCAUGCUCUCUUUGCUCUUCUGGUCCUAAGGACACUUUAGCAAAGUUAAUAUCGGAGACUCCCAACUUUUACAGCUCAUCCAUUAAGUUCCAAAACAGAAAAGAGAGAUACUUAACUGGGGGAAAGCCAGAUGUUGAACUCUCCACCGAUUCCAAAAACAUCAAGCAACUUGAAAGAUGGAUAGCUCUUCAGCUCUAGUUUCUGACUUUCCAUUUGGCAUUGGUCCUUGAACACGACAACAUAAUGAUGUUCUCAAUUCGGUGAUUUUCAAAUAUUUUAAUCCUAAUUAAAGCAUAAAGAAAAAGUUGCGUUAGCUGAGCUCGAAUGCCCGCCAAGUGUGAGAAAACUGUAUCUCAGCUGUAUGUACUGUUACACAGUGUUCUUGGAACUUCUCAUAUGUCAUUCUGUCUGUUCAUGUGCAAUCUGAUAACUAACUACAAUUAGCAAAUGAAAUAUUUAUAUAUGCUACCACGUAGUCAGUCCAUAUGUGCAAAAUAUUGCAAGAUCCUCAAGUAGCAUUUAGCAUCACCCACUGUUAUGUUAGUUUCCUGAAAUAGGAAACUAUGCUGUCUUAUGCAGUCUUAUGAAGUAUGCCCCCCGAGGAUGCAAUUUCCUUGCUUUGCGUGUUUGUGGUAGAGCUCAAGUCAUCCUCCAGUGAGGUGACUGGUUUGUCCUCUCACAAAAUUCAGCACCACCAGCCCAGAGUUCUCUUUCCUUUUUCUCCGUGUUACUCUUGUGCUUCACCUACAAGCUACACCAUGUCCCAACGAGUAGUGUUCAUCCACGUGGGAUGAACACUAGCCAGUUACUACUUUAUUUAUAAAAAUUCCAGUCAUUGUCCGAGCACAAGUGACUGACAGCACACACUGAGAACUUCGUAAAGGACUUUUAAACCUUCCACAGACACACAGUUUUUAACCAGCAUGUGAACAAUAUGAGAAGCUUGUUGACUUCUGAAAAAAUUGCCUGGAACUGAAAAUCCAUAAGUGGAAGGAAAGCAAGCCUCUGAUUCACUUGACUUAAAUCAAGGGACAUCCAACAGUUGAAGGAACGUGGGGCAGCUGCCCUCAAUGAAAUAUCAGUAUGUGCACCCUCACCCUUCCUGAGGCUGAUCAUCUUACAACGAGUAAAGGGGGAAAGGAAGCCAGUCUCCACCUGCAAGCCGAGGUUUGCAUGUAACCUUAUUUCACAGAAAAUUUAAUUUCAAGUCAAUUAAAUCUCAAUAUGAGAGAGAGAAAAAAGAGGGGGCAGAGAAGAGAGAACUUGGGGGUUUGGGAUAGAAAAGCUAUAAAAUUGGAUUGUGAUGAUCAUUGUACAACUAAAAAAAAAAAAGCAUGACAAUGUGAGAAAAAAGAAUAUAUACAAGUGUGUGUAACUGGGUCACCUUGCUGUACAGUAGAAAAUUGACAGAACACGGUAAACCAGCUAUAAUGGAAAAAAAUAAAAAUCACUAUAUAAAGAAAAAAAAGAGAGAGGACAUGAAGAAGAACGUGAGGCUGGGUUCUGGUACUUGCGCUAUGGAACUAAUGAUGCAGAUGAUCCAAAUUGCUCAAGUAUGAUGAUAGAGAAGGGUCCUGUUUAUUAGACCAGUGUAGGCAAGAAAGUCUCUAACCAAAAACAGCUAACGUCUAGUUCCAGGGGGAAAUGGAUGCUAUUAAUCUAUGACCUCUCUCUCUUCUUUUAUUUUUAUUAGAAUAUAAACCUUGUUAAUAAUGCAAAGUCUUUUGAAAUGUACAAUUCCAUAGCUCUUAAGAACAACCUUGAAAAGAAGGUACUUGAUGCUGCACUAAAGGCGUGUGUCACUGGGGUUUGAAGCUGGGAAGGAAUGCAUUCUCUCCUGUCUUUUUAUAUUGUGAUAGAUUUGUGGCAGGGUGGUUUAAGAGGCUCCUGCUGUCUCAAACUGUUUCCUUCAAGCACUGACCAUGAACUGGCUCAGAGAUGAUUUGGACACUUAACAUUUUCAAGGACAAAAAUUUCUCCCAAUGUGGUAGAGAGAGAAAGGAAGGAAGGAUAGAUGAUCACUCUGCUUUAUUCCUAGCAAGCCCAACUUAGACAGGAGAAAGGAUUUUUAAAAAAAUGGAGAUUCCAACAUGGAGUUUGCAGUGCCUAAUUGUAUGCUGUAAAAAUUAAUGGCAUAAAUGCUUACCAAGGAAUAAAAAUAUGCAGUGCUAU
rnacentral:lncRNA from 1 species